GAUGAACGCUGGCGGCGUGCCUAAUACAUGCAAGUCGAGCGAAUGGAUUAAGAGCUUGCUCUUAUGAAGUUAGCGGCGGACGGGUGAGUAACACGUGGGUAACCUGCCCAUAAGACUGGGAUAACUCCGGGAAACCGGGGCUAAUACCGGAUAAUAUUUUGAACUGCAUGGUUCAAAAUUGAAAGGCGGCUUCGGCUGUCAAUUAUGGAUGGACCCGCGUCGCAUUAGCUGGUUGGUGAGGUAACGGCUCACCAAGGCAACGAUGCGAAGCCGACCUGAGAGGGUGAUCGGCCACACUGGGACUGAGACACGGCCCAGACUCCUACGGGAGGCAGCAGUAGGGAAUCUUCCGCAAUGGACGAAAGUCUGACGGAGCAACGCCGCGUGAGUGAUGAAGGCUUUCGGGUCGUAAAACUCUGUUGUUAGGGAAGAACAAGUGCUAGUUGAAUAAGCUGGCACCUUGACGGUACCUAACCAGAAAGCCACGGCUAACUACGUGCCAGCCGCCGCCGUAA
rnacentral:rRNA from 1 species